rnacentral:rRNA from 1 species
GACGAACGCUGGCGGCGUGCCUAAUACAUGCAAGUAGAACGCUGAAGGAGGAGCUUGCUUCUCUGGAUGAGUUGCGAACGGGUGAGUAACGCGUAGGUAACCUGCCUGGUAGCGGGGGAUAACUAUUGGAAACGAUAGCUAAUACCGCAUAAGAGUAGAUGUUGCAUGACAUUUGCUUAAAAGGUGCAAUUGCAUCACUACCAGAUGGACCUGCGUUGUAUUAGCUAGUUGGUGGGGUAACGGCUCACCAAGGCGACGAUACAUAGCCGACCUGAGAGGGUGGUCGGCCACACUGGGACGGAGACACGGCCCAGACGCCUACGGGAGGCAGCAGUAGGGAAUCUUGGGGAAUGGGCGGAAGUCUGAGCGAGCAACGCCGCGUGAGUGAGGAGGGUUUUCGGAUCGUGGAGCUCUGUUGUAAGGGAAGAACGAGUGUGAGAGUGGAAAGUUGACUCUGUGACGGUAACGUACCAGAAAGAAACGGCUAACUACGUG